CCUGCGGCGGAAGUGAUUCUGAAAAGGGCUGUUGCGCGGCGUGACCAUGCCGCGCGAGAACGACUUUACGUUCUCUGACUGAGCGCACCGGAUCUCCGGGCGCUCCCUGCACGCCACGUCCCCGGAAGGGACGUGGCGCGUAGGUCU
rnacentral:sRNA from 1 species